rnacentral:rRNA from 1 species
CGUCUCAGUUCGGAUUGUAGUCUGCAACUCGACUACAUGAAGCUGGAAUCGCUAGUAAUCGCGGAUCAGAAUGCCGCGGUGAAUACGUUCCCGGGUCUUGUACACACCGCCCGUCACACCAUGGGAGUCGGAAAUGCCCGAAGUCUGUGACCCAACCUUAGGGAGGGAGCAGCCGAAGGCAGGUCGGAUGACUGGGGUGAAGUCGUAACAAGGUAUC